AUGUCCUGAAUGAAUUCAAACAGGCUUUGUGUGAGCAACAAGGCUGUUCAUUCACCAGGGUGCGAGUGGGCUGAGUCCGAAAAGAGUGUCAGUGAAGGGUGGUAGGAGAGGAGCUGGUUUUAUAGGUUUUGGGGAAGGCAGUGGAAAGUUACAGUAGUUACAGUUUAGGGUGUUUUUUUGCAAGCUGGGAGGGGGUUGUAGGGUGUGGAGUCAUGAGGUUGGCCAAGGUUGGUUACAAACUCCAGUGGCCUUGUCAGUUGAGGCCAGAAUGAGAAAUGGUAGAAGAAUGUCUCAGGUUAGUUAGGUGCUGCAGGGGUUGACUGUCCUUCCGUUUUUCAUGAUCUUCCAGCUACUUCAGGUUUUCUAAUUCUGGAAGGCCCUCCAGAGGUGUACGUGCGGGUCAUGGGGGGUUGCCAUAGUGUCAAUGGCGCCAUUAGUCAGCCUAAAGGACCUUACAGUCAGAUGGUACUAAACCAUUAACUGCCAGAUUAUAUGACUAAAUGGCACUUAAUAUAAAUACUUCUAAGCCCUUUUUGGGAGGAAGGGGGAAUUUGUGCCUUAUCCUACAAUUCGUGAACAAAACAAAACUAAAAUAUACUUGCUUUUAACAGAUUCUUAACUGUAUUUCUUACAUUUGUUAUUAACUUUAUUAUUUUGGUUGAACAUUAAUAUCAAACAUAAUAGCAUGAUUUUCAAAAAAUGAAUCUUUGUUUCUUCACUUGGUACGCUCAUUAUUUUGAAAUAUUUGGAACCACGUGCUCUUUUCCUAACCACACUUUGAUUAUGUGAUUAUAUUUGCUAGAGCUGUUACAAAUUAAUCACUUUUUGGUUAUGCUUGUUCUUUUAUAAGAAGUGUUUGUUUAGCCAUACAUAAACAGAAGUUUAUUUUGAGGAUUCACUUUCAUGUGAAUAACUGCCUCCCAACCAAAUCUUUUUAAUCACAUCUCUUAGAGGAAGGAAAUUUUUUCCUUUUCUUUUUUUUCUUCAAGAAUUUCAAAUUAACUGUUUGUGUAACAUAGAGAGAUUUGUAAAUUGGUGAAGGCACGGGCUAUGUCUUAUAUAUCUUUAUAUAUACACCACAGCCUCACACAGCACAGGAGAUUAACCCAUGCUUAUGCAAGAUUUGAAGAAUGUAAUAAUUGUACAGAAAAAAACACAUUAUUUGCUUUGAAAUGACUUUAUAAGGAACAUCUCUAAAUGAGCAAUGUUCUCAUAAAAAAUCAGGAUAAAUAGACAUUUUUUGCCCCUCUGCACAUAUGCCUUUGAGGAUAGUGUCCAUUUUCAUACACAUGAAAAGAAACAGCCUCAAAUCUGCUGAACCCUGGAAACCAUAAAAGCAUUUCCAGACUGUGUUUCUUAUUUAAUCAUUGAUACCAUUUCCCCUCAAUCAGGGGCCCAGGGCUUUCCCGUUUUCUAAUUUUUUUCUUUGUUUUAAAAUACACAGUUACUUUACAUACUAUUUUAUACUGUCACUAAAAGUUGUUCAGGUCAACUCAGCCAACAUUUAUUUAUGGAGGCCCUAUGAUAUGUUAGCUAACGCCAUAGAUGGUGAUGUUACAAAAAUGAGUAGGAUGCAGUUUUUGCUCUCCUAAAGGCCAUGACCUGGUGAGACCCUAAACAUGUGGAUGGAUGCCAUUCAGUGUCAUCGGUGCUGUCACACAGACAGGAUGGACAUAUGAGAGAGGCAAAGGUGGGCGUGGUGGCUUCUUCCUAGGGAAUCAAGGAAACCUUCCCAGGGCCAAUGGUGCUGGAUGAAUGUUAAGAUGGAUAGAUUUCAAGACAGACACAUGGAGCAGAGGAUAUGUAGGGCAGAGGAAGGAGGCUGGGAGGGCAGGUCAUGCGGUUAGAGGGCUGUAUAGGGGCCUUCUAUGGUACGUGUAGGAGCUUGGACUUUAUGUAGCAGGCAAAAGAAAAUGAAUGAAGGGCUUGAAGCAGUGGCAUAAUUUAAUUAGAUUUUCAUUUUAGAAAAUUACCCGCAUAACCAUGGGAGAAUGAAGUAGGUUAUUUGCAUUUCCUUAAAAGAGUACUUUUAGAACAUAAAUAGACCAAACAUUAACUUUUCUUCCCCAUUGCCUUAAGCAGAACUU